CAAGUCCCAUUUUCCCUGAUCAAGUCCAUGCAAUGCAACUGGACCAAGGAUUCCCGUGUUCCAUGUCUCAAAAUGUCCACCCACAUUCUUCAUAACAAAAAACAAUAUCAUUGAUUCAGACAAGAAAAUAGCAUAUGCAAGGAGAACUAACCGGCAAUCCAACAGCAACACUCAGCAGUGCAAUUCUGUUUGUUCCAGCACGCAGAUUCACCUUUCCGGUAUAUGUGAAUCUCCGAUACUGUCUUGUUCCAAAGGCAGAACCUAUGAACAGCACAUGUUAAAAUUACUAUUUUUUCAGACAAAAAAGCAAUCCACGUUGGCACAAAUAGUAUACCUGAUAGCUGCCCGUUAAUAAAGACAUGCACAGCAUGACCCGUUGAUUGAACAAUGAGAGUGGGGAGUUCCCCUCCACGCAGGAAGGAUUCUGAAGAGCCGAUAUCGACACUGCAGUCACAUUGAGAAGAAAAAUUUUUAAACAUGUAAAUUAUCAGCCCCUGUUGUUGCAUUUUAUAUCCAGCAGAUUUGUCAAACAAUUUAAAGACAUUUCAGU